rnacentral:rRNA from 1 species
AGAGUUUUUUCCUGGCUCAGAUUGAACGCUGGCGGCAGGCUUAACACAUGCAAGUCGAGCGGGGAUAGGUAGCUUGCUACUGAUUCCUAGCGGCGGACGGGUGAGUAAUACUUAGGAAUCUGCCUAUUAGUGGGGGACAACGUUUCGAAAGGGACGCUAAUACCGCAUACGCCCUACGGGGGAAAGCAGGGGAUCUUCGGACCUUGCGCUAAUAGAUGAGCCUAAGUCGGAUUAGCUAGUUGGUGGGGUAAAGGCCUACCAAGGCGACGAUCUGUAGCGGGUCUGAGAGGAUGAUCCGCCACACUGGGACUGAGACACGGCCCAGACUCCUACGGGAGGCAGCAGUGGGGAAUAUUGGACAAUGGAGGCAACUCUGAUCCAGCCAUGCCGCGUGUGUGAAGAAGGCCUUUUGGUUGUAAAGCACUUUAAGCGAGGAGGAGGCUACUCUAGUUAAUACCUAGGGAUAGUGGACGUUACUCGCAGAAUAAGCACCGGCUAACUCUGUGCCAGCAUCCGCGGUAAUACAGAGGGUGCGAGCGUUAAUCGGAUUUACUGGGCGUAAAGCGUGCGUAGGCGGCUGAUUAAGUCGGAUGUGAAAUCCCUGAGCUUAACUUAGGAAUUGCAUUCGAUACUGGUCAGCUAGAGUAUGGGAGAGGAUGGUAGAAUUCCAGGUGUAGCGGUGAAAUGCGUAGAGAUCUGGAGGAAUACCGAUGGCGAAGGCAGCCAUCUGGCCUAAUACUGACGCUGAGGUACGAAAGCAUGGGGAGCAAACAGGAUUAGAUACCCUGGUAGUCCAUGCCGUAA